AAGUAUGCUUGUUACUAAAAGGAUCGAUGUAUAUACUUCUCGUAUCCGUUGGCGAGACAGUAUAAAUAACUUUAUUCAUUGUGCCCACAGCCCAGGCACUGUUCUUCAGGUACUAGGGAGUCUGUCUUGUCCUUCCCAUUCCUUUUUCAGCCAGGAGUUUAUAGGCUGUCCCCCUUGAAAUGGAUAUAGUUGGGCCAAGGAGUUUCAAACCUAAUCAGGCAUCUUUUUGUUAUUGCUACUUGAUGCGGCAGCUCCUGGGUUUUGUUUUAACAUGCUGCAUGUCAUGUUAUAUUGAGACAUCGGAUUUGGUAAUUGAGCUUGAUGGACCUCUAUGAGGAACGGUAAAAAUAGAAAGAAGCUUUUCACCUUUUUCUCGCGAGGACAGAGGAUUUAGAUUAUUUGAGAGUAAAAGCACCUGCAAAUGUAGAAAGUCAUCAGGUUUGUCAUUAGAAUAUCCUGUUGCAUCAGCUGAUCUUGUGAAGGUAGCAUUUGUCUUAGACUUAUAUAUAAAUUAUUUUCCAUGUAAGGUAACUUAUGGCAUGAAAGUGAGUCACCUGUCGUGAUUAGAAAAUGUAAAUUUUUUUUUGACAGUGAGAAAAGGACAGUACCAACAUUCUCCCAAGAUAUUACUCAACUUCAUGUAAUGGCUGAGCUGAUUAUUGUGUUGAGUUAGUAUGAUUAACAUUAACGGCUUGACUACUCUCUAUUCCAAAUCUUCUAAUAUUCCUGUCAACAUUCAUGCAAGUCCUUUCUUGGUCUAAUUGUAUGAGUUAUGCAGGAGUGGGGAUCGGAGGUUACCAAAGGAGAGCACUCCCAACUCUGCAACUGUUGAGUAUACUGAUUUUUUGUUGGCCACAGCCUCAGGGAAGGUUGAAGGAGUCAAGGGUCCUGGAAAACUUGCUACUCUCUUUGAGAGAACAAAAGUGGCAGCUUACCCUAUUGGUGCCAUGACACCAUGCAUGAGAUUAUAUGCGUUUCUGGGUAAAGAGUUCCAGACACUCUUAGAUGCCAACCAAGACAGUCACCCAUACAAAAAGUGGAUCGACAGUUACUCGUCUGAGGGUUUCCAGGCGAGAAGCUUGACGUCAUUGAAAAUCUUUAUCACCAAGCCAUGAAACUUGAAAUAGAGUUCUUUCUUGCCCAACCACUUGCCCAGCCUACCAUUGUCCCCAUGAUUAGAGAGCCCAGUUUGGCAGCGAAUCGUCUUAUGUUAUUUUCUGAUUUUGAUCUGACUUGUACAGUCGUUGAUUCUUCUGCCAUUGUGGCUGAGAUUGCCAUAGUUACUGCUCCGAGAACUGAUACAAGUCAGUCUGAAAGUCAACUUGCUAGGAUGUCAUCAGCUGAACUGAGGAAGACAUGGGACAUCCUUUCGAGACAGUACACAGAGGAGUAUGAGCAAUGCAUAGAAAGAAUUAUGCCGGCCGAAAAAGCUGAGGCAUUUGAUUAUAAAGCA